rnacentral:rRNA from 1 species
CCCAUUUCUCAGCGGCGGACGGGUGAGUAACACGUGGGCAACCUGCCCUGCAGACUGGGAUAACUCCGGGAAACCGGAGCUAAUACCGGGUAAUACAUAGCAUCGCAUGAUGCAACGUUGAAAGUUGGCUUUCGAGCUAACACUGUAGGAUGGGCCCGCGGCGCAUUAGCUAGUUGGUAAGGUAACGGCUUACCAAGGCCACGAUGCGUAGCCGACCUGAGAGGGUGAUCGGCCACACUGGGACUGAGACACGGCCCAGACUCCUACGGGAGGCAGCAGUAGGGAAUCUUCCGCAAUGGACGAAAGUCUGACGGAGCAACGCCGCGUGAGUGACGAAGGCCUUCGGGUCGUAAAGCUCUGUUGUUAGGGAAGAACAAGUACCGUUCGAAUAGGGCGGUACCUUGACGGUACCUAACCAGAAAGCCACGGCUAACUACGUGCCAGCAGCCGCGGUAAUACGUAGGUGGCAAGCGUUGUCCGGAAUUAUUGGGCGUAAAGCGCGCGCAGGCGGUCUCUUAAGUCUGAUGUGAAAGCCCACGGCUCAACCGUGGAGGGCCAUUGGAAACUGGGGGACUUGAGUGCAGAAGAGGAGAGUGGAAUUCCACGUGUAGCGGUGAAAUGCGUAGAUAUGUGGAGGAACACCAGUGGCAAAGGCGGCUCUCUGGUCUGUAACUGACGCUGAGGCGCGAAAGCGUGGGGAGCGAACAGGAUUAGAUACCCUGGUAGUCCACGCCGUAAACGAUGAGUGCUAGGUGUUGGGGGCUUCCACCCUCAGUGCUGAAGUUAACACAUUAAGCACUCCGCCUGGGGAGUACGACCGCAAGGUUGAAACUCAAAGGAAUUGACGGGGGCCCGCACAAGCAGUGGAGCAUGUGGUUUAAUUCGAAGCAACGCGAAGAA